AGAGUUUGAUCCUGGCUCAGAACGAACGCUGGCGGCGUGCCUAACACAUGCAAGUCGUACGAGAAAAUCCGCUUCGGCGGGUGAGUAAAGUGGCGCACGGGUGAGUAACGCGUGGAUAAUCUGCCUUUAAGCGGGGAAUAACUUACCGGAAGGUGGGCUAAUACCCCAUAAAGCUAUGGAGCUCCGGUUUUCAUAGCCAAAGAGAGCCUCUGCAUGCAAGCCCUCACUUAGAGAUGAGUCCGCGUACCAUUAGCUAGUUGGUGGGGUAAUGGCCUACCAAGGCGACGAUGGUUAGCUGGUCUGAGAGGAUGAUCAGCCACACUGGAACUGAGACACGGUCCAGACUCCUACGGGAGGCAGCAGUGAGGAAUAUUGCGCAAUGGGGGCAACCCUGACGCAGCAACGCCGCGUGAGUGAGGAAGGUUUUCGGAUCGUAAAGCUCUGUCGGGUGGGAAGAAAUGUAUGGAGGUUAACAGCCUUUGUACUUGACGGUACCGCCAAAGGAAGCACCGGCUAACUCCGUGCCAGCAGCCGCGGUAAUACGGGGGGUGCUAGCGUUGUUCGGAAUCAUUGGGCGUAAAGAGCGUGUAGGCGGCUAGGCAAGUCAGAUGUGAAAUCCCUGGGCUUAACCCAGGACGUGCAUUUGAAACUGCUUGGCUUGAGUAGGGAAGAGGGAAGUGGAAUUCCUGGUGUAGUGGUGAAAUGCGUAGAUAUCGGGAGGAACACCGGUGGCGAAGGCGGCUUUCUGGCCAGUUACUGACGCUCAUGCGCGAAAGCUGGGGUAGCGAACCGGAUUAGAUACCCGGGUAGUCCCAGCCGUAA
rnacentral:rRNA from 1 species